rnacentral:lncRNA from 1 species
AUGUGGAAUGCUGCGUUCGGAAAUGGGUCAGAUUUGCGUAGUGGAGGAGGCGGCGGCUGCGGCGGCGGGUACGUGCCAGCGCAGGACUGGGAAUUCGUUUCCUGCUCGCGCCUGGAAAGAGAAAGAGAGCGCGGCAGAGGGAAGAGUCGCAGCCCGUUCAGGACGUUCUCCUCCCCGCCAACAGUCACUCAGUUCUACGAACAGUCUCAUCCUGGAACGGUUGGAACAUCACUGGAGCUUCCUCGGGGACAAGUUCGGGCGCAAGAGCCAGGGACUCAUCACUCCCGCCUGAAAAAGAAGUUUGAACACUUCAAGAAACGCCACGGACAGGACAAGGAAGAAUGGAUACGAGAGAAGGAGAUACUUUUAAGACAAGUUGCUGAGAUACAAGGUGGGGAGAACAGAAGGAUUUUGUUGGAUCUGAAGACUGUAGUGGAGGAGGUGCAGCUAGAGGUGAAGAGAGAGGAGUCGAAGAGGAGCGAGCUACAGCUGCAGUACACUAAGGACAGAUGUGCCUGGGAACUGGAGAGAGCUGAGCUGAAAUGCAGAAUCGCACAGGCUACCAGGGCCUACCACCAUGCAUCCUGUGUCUUCGAGCUACCAGGAGUUACCACCAAGCAUCCUGUGUCUUCGGGGCUACCAGGGCCUACCACCAAGCAUCCUGUGUUUUCGAGCUACCAGGAGUUACCACCAAGCAUCCUGUGUCUCGAAGGCUACCAGGGAUUACCACUAAGCAUCCUGUUCUUUGAGGCUACCAGGGCCUACCACCAAGCAUCCUAGUGUCUUCGGGGCUACCAGGGCCUACCACCAAGCAUCCUGUGUCUUCGAGCUACCAGGGCCUACCACCAAGCAUCCUGUGUCUUCGAGCUACCAGGAGUUACCACCAAGCAUCCUGUGUCUUCAGGCUACCAGGAGUUACCACCAAGCAUCCUGUGGUCUUCAGGCUACCAGGGCCUACCACCAAGCAUCCUG